UGUAAAGCCCAUUGCGCAUAGAGGGAUCUUGGGACGCAAGGGGUUACUUUUGGUGGACAGCAAUUGACGUCAAAUAUAAAAUAAUCAUAUACAACAUCAGACGCAAGAUCAGAGGCAGUUGGACGAAUUUUAAGAUCUUUGGUGCAAGAAAUCAAGGCUACAUAAUCUACGGGAUCGAGCGGGAUGCUUGGAGAGCAAGGAAUAAACAGGUUGAGACGAGAUGAUGCUAAGUCAAGAAACGAGAUUUAGGUGGACUUAGAUACACACCUAGAUUAAACUUUUAUUUUGAUGUUAUGAAACAAUGUCUUUCUUUAUUUGGAUGUUGUAUGACAUUUUUUGUCUUCCUAUGAAAUGAAAUUUAAAUUUUAUUGUCA